GAUGAAGAACGCAGCGAAAUGCGAUAAGUAAUGUGAAUUGCAGAAUUCAGUGAAUCAUCGAAUCUUUGAACGCACCUUGCACCCUUUGGCAUUCCGAAGGGUAUGCUCGUUUGAGUGUUAUUGUACUCUCACUCUCCCGAUGCUUUUGGAUCGGGAGUGGUGGACUUGGGUGUUGCUGCUUUGCUGUGGCUCGCCUCAAAUGGAGUAGUGCAACUCUUGGUUGGACAUAGUACGGCGUGAUAAGUGUCUUCGCCGGCGCCUCAUUAUAGAGGGUGGCCGAUCGGGAGCUCUGUGCUUCAAACCGUCUUCGGACAACAUCUGACAACUUGACCUCAAAUCGAGUAGGACUACCCGCUGAACUUAAGCAUAUCAAUAAGCGGAGGA
rnacentral:misc_RNA from 1 species